rnacentral:rRNA from 1 species
UACGUAGGGUGCAAGCGCUAAUCGGAAUUACUGGGCGUAAAGCGUGCGCAGGCGGCGAUGCAAGACAGGUGUGAAAACCCCGGGCUUAACCUGGGAACUGCAUUUGUGACUGCAUCGCUGGAGUGCGGCAGAGGGGGCUGGAAUUCCGCGUGUAGCAGUGAAAUGCGUAGAUAUGCGGAGGAACACCGAUGGCGAAGGCAAUCCCCUGGGCCUGCACUGACGCUCAUGCGCGAAAGCGUGGGGAGCAAACAUG